rnacentral:rRNA from 1 species
AGAGUUUGAUCAUGGCUCAGAUUGAACGCUGGCGGCAUGCCUUACACAUGCAAGUCGAACGGCAGCACGGGAGCAAUCCUGGUGGCGAGUGGCGAACGGGUGAGUAAAGCAUCGGAACGUGCCCAGUCGUGGGGGAUAACGUAGCGAAAGCUACGCUAAUACCGCAUACGAUCUGUGGAUGAAAGCGGGGGACCGUAAGGCCUCGCGCGAUUGGAGCGGCCGAUGUCAGAUUAGGUAGUUGGUGGGGUAAAGGCUCACCAAGCCGACGAUCUGUAGCUGGUCUGAGAGGACGACCAGCCACACUGGGACUGAGACACGGCCCAGACUCCUACGGGAGGCAGCAGUGGGGAAUUUUGGACAAUGGGCGCAAGCCUGAUCCAGCAAUGCCGCGUGCAGGAUGAAGGCCUUCGGGUUGUAAACUGCUUUUGUACGGAGCGAAAAGGCUUCCACUAAUACUGGGGGCUCAUGACGGUACCGUAAGAAUAAGCACCGGCUAACUACGUGCCAGCAGCCGCGGUAAUACGUAGGGUGCAAGCGUUAAUCGGAAUUACUGGGCGUAAAGCGUGCGCAGGCGGUUUUGUAAGACAGGUGUGAAAUCCCCGGGCUUAACCUGGGAACUGCACUUGUGACUGCAAGGCUGGAGUACGGCAGAGGGGGAUGGAAUUCCGCGUGUAGCAGUGAAAUGCGUAGAUAUGCGGGAGGAACACCGAUGGCGAAGGCAAUCCCCUGGGCCUGUACUGACGCUCAUGCACGAAAGCGUGGG